GGAGACGCGAGGGAGAAUGGGGGCGGGGAGAGAUGGCGGAGGGAUGGCGGCGCAGGGGCGGAGGCGUUAACCCUUCGGCUGGGAGGAGAAGGAAGGCUCGCGGGGGCAGGUCUCCCUAGAGUCAUGUGAAGCUUGGCUGAUUUUCACUGAAGUAGCAGAAGAUUCCUGAAGCAUUCUGAGGGGAAUUUGUUGAAGACGAGAGGGGUUUUGAGUCCAAGAAGUGCUUGCACUGCAAAAGACAUUGCCCAUGAAGGAGGUGAAAAGAGAAGACUGGCUAAUUCAUGCACACAGGCAGGAGCAUAUAGCACUGUGAUGUCCGCCAUUACAGGAACCUGCAGCAAGACCAACUGGAGCGAGGCGGCUCUGAACAGUUCACACAGCACUUUGGAGCAAACCUUGGUGUCAAGGUUAACUCACAGAGUGAUGCUGGUAAAGAAAAGCCCAUCAGAAAGUAAGGGAAAAGCAGAAUUAAAAGACAGGGUGUCUUCUUGGCUGCUCUACAUCUCUUUAUAUUCUCCUGGAGUAAUGGUUGGGAGAAAAAGGGUGUGGCCACAGUAUCGUGGUGUCCCAGCUAUUCUGGGCUCUAAUACACUCAACGUGCAACCAGUGGUGAUAUUGCCAAGGGGAGAGUAGCAAGCACAAUCUGGGACAUGCAAAAGGGACUGAGUGAUCUCUCGCUAUGUCUUAUGGUCUCUACCUGUUACACUGGAAGUCCUGAGAAUGCCAGAACCCGUGUCACGAUCUGCUGAAAGAAGCAGCAGAAUUAGAGAGCCUAGAGUUAGAGCUCCUGGAAUUCAGAAUUGGAUACUGCUGCCAAAGAGCACACAAGAGAUUUUGCAGAAGAACAAUAUCACCUGAGUCUUACAUAGUGCUUUUCAUCAAGAAAUCUCUUGUCCGUGUCAUUACUGCUAGAUUUUGGUUGGUUUUGUUUGGUUGUUUAUUUUUCGCUUAGGAAACAGAUGUGCAGAAAGUGAGUGGUGUUGUCCAAGACUGCCCAAUAAACUGGUCGUAAAACAGAUAGGAAACCUGAUGCCUCCCACUGCCAAAUAGAAUUCACUUGUCACACACAAGGUUAUGAAACAUAAGGCUGCUGUCUUCCUCUCAGCCUUUCUGAGAUAAAGCAAAAAGCUCUCUCUGAGGAUACUGAGGUCUCUCCUGUGCCAGGAUAGCAGAUGCCUGCGCUGUGUGGGUCCCAUGUCCUAUGAGGAUCACUGUCCAGACAGCAUGUCUCACUCUGCAACUGAUCUGAAGUAUUUGUUCCUCACGUGGGAUGGCAAGUGGCGGGGAGAUAACUAGAUCGAUCUCCCUUUUAGGUCUUUUCCUGGGACUUGGUACGUAGGUUCCAGAUGGUACCAAGCCCCUGCUGCUUGGAUCUGCACAGAAAACUGCUUCUUCCUCAGCCUAUUUCACAACAUAUUUGGCUCUCUGUCGUUCGGUUGCUAUUUGUACAAAUUAAGCUGCACUGCCAGGAACGUUUGCAAACAGUGAAUAGGAAAGUGGGAUGCACAAGGCAAGUCAAAAUAGGUCUCAAAUCUGGCAAAAUGCCUGCAGGUGCUUAUAACAUUUGACUUACUGCAUCCCAUAUAUUACACACCCACACACUCAUUCAUCCAUCUUUCUCUUGCCCUCACGCCCACACACGCUCACCCUUCACAGGUUCAUUCACCUUCUCUUCUCCCUUCCCUGCUUUCGCUUCCAAACAGUUAUUCCCACACAUAAAUCCACCUCUGACACUCUUUGUUCCCAAUAUACAAACACACACCCAUUAAUGAAUGCUGGAGUGCAGUGUCUGUGGGUGGAAUAUAUACAUUCAUACAGCAGACUAUGCUGUAAUCUUACACCUAUGCUGUGAAAAAUCCUUUGGGAUUAGUGAGCUGAGAGCUCUGAUUACUUUCACUUUUAUGUAAAAUACCACUGAUCCAGUUUAUGGGGCUGGUGCUUUCUGUCUUCCUCUGCUAUCAUUCUUCAUGGACACCUCCCCUUUCUCCUCAUCUUCCUCUUCACUCUUUCUCCCUCUGCUUGGAACUUCCCACACUGCUCUCCAAGACCACAUGGGUUCAGAGAGCUUGCCUAUCCCCAUCCUUCUUUGUGACAUAAUGCUAGCCCUGAUUAUCUCACAGGGACAGUGAGCAGGGGUGAGCAAUGAGCCAGCCGUUCGGUGGUAGGACAUGGUGCAGGAAUUUGUGUGAGCUAUGGUGAGAUCAGAGGCAGAGUCGGUAAACGGUGGGGCAGACUGCCCUGCCAUCCGAGCAGCGCUGAGUCCUCCUGGCAUCGAGCCUGCCUCUAAUGGAAUGUGACCCACCGUUGGGAAUGAGCUCAUCUGUAAUCCACUUAAUUGAGUUUUAUGAGCAGGGCUCUCACAUCAGGGAGCCAGUCUGCCUUCCUCCAAGCACUUGCCCUCCUUUGGUUGCCGCUUGGGAAGGGAAAGGGGGUGGAGAUGUAGGCAGUGCUCCACUCAGCUAUCAUUUGCCUGCUUUCUGACUUUCUCUCUACUCUGGGGCUACAGGGAGCUGGACAUACAUGUUUUUCAGGAGGUCCGUUGCCUCAUGGUCUCACA